GACGAACGCUGGCGGCGUGCUUAACACAUGCAAGUCGAACGGAAAGGCCCUGCUUUUGUGGGGUGCUCGAGUGGCGAACGGGUGAGUAACACGUGAGUAACCUGCCCUUGACUUUGGGAUAACUUCAGGAAACUGGGGCUAAUACCGGAUAGGAGCUCCUGCUGCAUGGUGGGGGUUGGAAAGUUUCGGCGGUUGGGGAUGGACUCGCGGCUUAUCAGCUUGUUGGUGGGGUAGUGGCUUACCAAGGCUUUGACGGGUAGGCGGCCUGAGAGGGUGACCGGCCACAUUGGGACUGAGAUACGGCCCAGACUCCUACGGGAGGCAGCAGUGGGGAAUAUUGCACAAUGGGCGGAAGCCUGAUGCAGCAACGCCGCGUGCGGGAUGACGGCCUUCGGGUUGUAAACCGCUUUCGCCUGUGACGAAGCGUGAGUGACGGUAAUGGGUAAAGAAGCACCGGCUAACUACGUG
rnacentral:rRNA from 1 species